rnacentral:rRNA from 1 species
CUACGGGAUGCAGCAGUGGGGAAUAUUGCACAAUGGAGGAAACUCUGAUGCAGCAACGCCGCGUGGAGGAUGACACUUUUCGGCGCGUAAACUCCUUUUAUAUAGGAAGAAGAUGACGGUACUAUAUGAAUAAGCGCCGGCUAACUCCGUGCCAGCAGCCGCGGUAAUACGGAGGGCGCAAGCGUUACUCGGAAUCACUGGGCGUAAAGAGCGUGUAGGCGGAUUAAAAAGUCAGAAGUGAAAUCCUAUAGCUUAACUAUAGAACUGCUUCUGAAACUCUUAAUCUAGAAUAUGGGAGAGGUAGAUGGAAUUUCUGGUGUAGGGGUAAAAUCCGUAGAGAUCAGAAGGAAUACCGAUUGCGAAGGCGAUCUACUAGAACAUUAUUGACGCUGAGACGCGAAAGCGCGGGGAGCAAACAGGAUUAGAUACCCCCGUAGUC